UUGCCUCGCGAGCGGGGGAUUGCAGGGACGGGCCGGCAUGGACGCCGGCCCGAGGUUCGCCGCGACAGGACGUCGCGUCGAACCGUGCCCGUCGGCAAUCCCCCGAUCGCGAGGGGA
rfam:Halothiobacillus sp. XI15 contig_5, whole genome shotgun sequence.